CUGGAUGUGACCUUGGGGCUGAGACCUAGAGGAGUCAAGGUUUGAGCUCAGGUGACAAGGUUGCCUUGUCAAGGGGCCUUCUGGACCACCCGAUGUGCUUAUCUGUCCCACCCCCUCGGACCCCUGCCCCCAUGGCAGGCAUGCUCCAUAGCUAAGGAGCCUAUACAUCCAGGCCGAGCUGUACGCCCAGCCCUCAGCAGGGAACUCAAGCAGAAGCAGCUGCUGGAUAAAUAAAUGCCCACUGACAGGACGAGCGUGGGGAACCCACACCGAGCCAGGUGGAAGAACGUAAAUCCUGCUUGCCUCCACAUCUGGCGCAAAGGAGAAUCUCCCCCAUCUCAGGAAUUCUGAAUUAAGGAGGCUUUGAAUGAAUGACACUCUGCUGAACUUAAACUCCCGCUGGGGCAGAGAGAUGGCAGGACAAUUGGGGAAGGGGCA
rnacentral:lncRNA from 1 species